AGUAUAAACAAUCACUCUUGCAAUAAGUUACUUAUUAAUUACCUAUUACUUAUAGCAUAUAUAUACCUCGAUUACCAACAAAUAAAAGGCUACAUAAGUGGCAUGGAUAUGUGCCUCCAAUACAAAGAGUUAUCAUAAUUAUUCACACAAAAUAAGAGUGUAUGUCAUUCACACAAGAACAAUCCAUCCAUUGCAAACCAAUUUCAUUUUAAUAAGAGUCCCUCCUCUGGCUCUUGGAAUUGCAGCAGCUUGUUGUAUAUCAGCCUCAAGUAUUUGGAGGGGAUCCUGAUAUGGUAACUGAGAAAGGUAGUAUGACAUCAGUGCCAUAAAUUUGUGGAAAAUUGAAGCAAAGAAUCAAUCGACUGAUAUCACGUAGCGAAUUCGGAAUAACUAUGACUUAUGAAUAUCAAUUAGGCACUCCUAUUGUAUCACCAGUACUAGUAGAGACUAAUUAAGGGCAGGAGCUGCACUAGUAGAGUUCUUUAAUCAAAACCUACUCUAUCAUCUUUUAAACGUGAAAGUAGUUAUUAUUUUGUAGUCAAUUCACUAUUUGAAAGGUUUCAGAGUUAACAAACUCUGUUUGGCAAAACUAGUUACAAUUAGAGGGGUAAUAUAUAGGAGCUAGAUUGAUUUUAUUUGAAGUCAAUUUAUCAUACUCAAAUUGUGCAGUGUGGGAAUAAGUAAAACAAAGUUGUAUGCACCAAGUGUUGUACUUCUUAUCAGGCAUUAGUUAGUCUACAAAACCACGAGAUUUUUAAAAUGUUACAAGAAAUUAGCUAGUCUCAACCAUAAGAUAAUAAGGGUCAUAUUACAAAGCUGCAAGUAUACAUACUAAUCAAUCGAAAGGAACAAUCAAAUAAAGUGACUUACACUAAUAGAACCGAGAAAUGCUAUUUUCUUUCACUGUGUACCUAAUCAAAGAAACAAAACUCAAACAAACACAAAAUAAGUCAAAUACGACACAAACAAAAUUAAGGUUCAAGGAUGAAAAACAUUCUAUAGCAUCAUUUAGAAAUAUAUCAAUGGAAACAUCUAUACAAUUGAACAAUCAAAACUUCAUUAUCAAACAAAUGAGAAAGAGAAACAU
rnacentral:lncRNA from 1 species